rnacentral:rRNA from 1 species
CCUACGGGGCGCUGCAGUGGGGAAUAUUGGACAAUGGGCGAAAGCCUGAUCCAGCCAUGCCGCGUGUGUGAAGAAGGCCUUCGGGUUGUAAAGCACUUUCAGUGGGGAAGAAAGCCUUGGGGCUAAUACCCUCGAGGAAGGACAUCACCCACAGAAGAAGCACCGGCUAACUCCGUGCCAGCAGCCGCGGUAAUACGGAGGGUGCGAGCGUUAAUCGGAAUUACUGGGCGUAAAGCGCGCGUAGGCGGUCUGAUAAGCCGGUUGUGAAAGCCCCGGGCUCAACCUGGGAACGGCAUCCGGAACUGUCAGGCUAGAGUGCAGGAGAGGAAGAUAGAAUUCCCGGUGUAGCGGUGAAAUGCGUAGAGAUCGGGAGGAAUACCAGUGGCGAAGGCGGCCUUCUGGACUGACACUGACGCUGAGGUGCGAAAGCGUGGGUAGCAAACAGGAUUAGAUACCCUUGUAGUC